rnacentral:lncRNA from 1 species
AACUCUACUUGAUUUGAAGGGAUAUGGUGAAUUAUGCCUUUGCGUGUUCAUUCCGGAUUUACAUGGACUCUUGAUGGAUCAAGAGAUGCCAAUAUGUAUCAACAUCCGAAGAAAAAGAUCUUGGGAAGACACAGUCUCGAUAAGGUACUCGAUGACUGUAUUGAUGAUCAAUCGGCUUAGGCGCUCUAUAAUUAGUGAGGCCUACAUAUACUCCCAUGAUUAGUCAAGGUCUUUGCUCUAAAGAGAGAUCCGUUGUUUUGUCUAAAGCAAGAUGACAAAUAUGUGUUAAGAGAUGGAGUUCCCAUCUAAGUACAAAAAGACGCAUCAAUGUACUCAACACAAUACAAAAGACUUGACAUCUCAUUCGCUAUGAAAAGUUGUAAAGCUAAGUGUAGCUAUGCGCCCACGCAACGCCAAUGUAAUGGCAGUAACUCCUUUUUCAAUACUUAAUGGUAUGAAAGGUUGAGGCUUAUUCUAUCCCUACAUAAGAAAGACACAUCAAAAGCGAAAUCAGAAUCUGCCAAGUUUUGUAGGUCAACUUCCACGAGACCUAUAGGAAAUAUCACUCACUGGAAAAUGGUGAAAUUGGUACCAUUGGAAAGGUCUAUGUGUCUACUUUCCAGGGACACCAACCAUUUGAUCAUACCUAUCAUAUUGAGUGAGUUAUGGCCGUUUUCGUAAAUAGGACGAAUCUGUCCGAGAAUCUGAUUUUAGCAAAACAGUCAACUUCGACGGAAUGUUGUGAAUAGCUCCUGAGGAACCAGAACGUGUGUAAUAUACGGUUGGAAAGCUAAAUGAGUCUAGUUUCCAAAACCGUUUACGGUUUGUUCAUAUGUAUUUCCUAGAGAAAGUUACGACUGUUCUAGUAAUUGAAGGUCAUGCUGCGCGGAAAUCUGAUUUCCUGCACGAACUUAUGUUUUGAGUUCACAAGCAACCUUCUCCUCAAGAUCUAAGUGUAAAAGAUCAUUUGAGGACAAUACGGCAUGAUUUAGUUGAUCAUUGCCCAAUACCACAUUUGAAGACAUGUUAAAAAGCAUUGACAUGCUAAGUUGUUGAAACUUCCGUGAUUAGUAAGAAUCAGGAAGAGCCCUAUGAUUGAUGUAAAGAUCAGGGGGAGGUGCGAACUUCAGGGGGAGUCUAGCACAUACAUACAUGUCACUAUCAAAUGUGAAGGGUGCGUUGUACUCUUUUUCUCCUACGAUCAAGGUUCAGUUUUUCUCCCACAGGGUUUUUGUGACUUGACGAGGUUUUUGACGAGGCAACAGAUCAGCAUCAUCGGCAUAUCAGCGCGCGGCACA